CCUGUGAAGUUUGCAUGCGCUUGCUGCUGAUCGAUCACCGUUUUACUUGCAUUGAAAUUACAAACGCUCUCCCAUCAAGGUUACGCGCAUUAUUAGCCCUCGAAUGCAUUAUACUUCAAAGCAUGCCCGGCAGAAUGCAGCAGGAAUUGGUUCAAGAUGCACGUACUGUUCCUCUUCGGACCUGCAGCGCCAUUUAAGAGUUACCGCGAGUCUGCAAUGGGGAGAAAUAGCCCGUCCCGUUCCGCGCAGCAGCUUCGCUCUCAGAUUUUCUGAGUGCUGACAGAUGUAUCCAUGGGGUGUGAACUUAAGAAGAUUUUUCUUCGAAAUGUGAUUACUUUCUUUUUGCCUCUGUUCCGUAUAUUCUAUUGAAGUGUUAAUACUAAAAUGUAGCGGCGCAUAGUUUGUGUAAGUUAAUAAAGGCAUUAUUCAUUGACUUUUCCGGAGCCUUGGUAAUGUUAGUGGAAGCUUUAAAUCACAACUUUAUUGCUGUUUUUGUAGAGUGGUAAAAUAAAGAUCCUGGAUUCUUUUA